UACAUGGGGUGCAAACGUUGCUCGGAAUUAUUGGGCGUAAAGCGCACGUAGGCGGUCCGUUAAGUCGGAUGUGAAAGCCCCCGGCUCAACCGGGGAAGUGCAUCCGAAACUGGCAGGCUAGAGUACGAAAGAGGGUCGCGGAAUUCCCGGUGUAGAGGUGAAAUUCGUAGAUAUCGGGAGGAACACCGGUGGCGAAGGCGGCGACCUGGGUCCAUACUGACGCUGAGGUGCGAAAGCGUGGGGAGCAAACAGG
rnacentral:rRNA from 1 species